ACUUCUCGCUAGACGAGCGGCGGACGGGUGAGUAAUGCUUGGGAACAUGCCUUGAGGUGGGGGACAACAGUUGGAAACGACUGCUAAUACCGCAUAAUGUCUACGGACCAAAGGGGGCUUCGGCUCUCGCCUUUAGAUUGGCCCAAGUGGGAUUAGCUAGUUGGUGAGGUAAUGGCUCACCAAGGCGACGAUCCCUAGCUGGUUUGAGAGGAUGAUCAGCCACACUGGGACUGAGACACGGCCCAGACUCCUACGGGAGGCAGCAGUGGGGAAUAUUGCACAAUGGGCGCAAGCCUGAUGCAGCCAUGCCGCGUGUGUGAAGAAGGCCUUCGGGUUGUAAAGCACUUUCAGUCAGGAGGAAAGGUUAACGGUUAAUACCCGUUAGCUGUGACGUUAUCUGACAUGAAGAAGCACCGGCUAACUCCGUGCCAGCAGCCGCGGUAAUACGGAGGGUGCGAGCGUUAAUCGGAAUUACUGGGCGUAAAGCG
rnacentral:rRNA from 1 species